rnacentral:lncRNA from 1 species
CUCGUGCAGUAUAAGAUUAUGACAUAAAUGUAUUCAGUUAAGACACCUUUUUUUCAGUUUUAUUUUUAGCUGACUUCCUCUUCAUUUGGAGAGGUGCACAUGUUUCCUCUGGGCUUUGUGGAGCCUGGUAAGGGAUUGGAUGCCACGCAGCAGGCCAGACAUUGUUCUUCCCUGUUUUCCUUUAACCGCUACCACACAGCAGCAUCCACAACUGCCAAUUAUUGCUAUUUCAGGAACUGACCUUAAAGGUCCUCCACUUCUGGCAAUACUGUGCUUAAAAUAAAAGGAUGACGUCAAGAGGUCCAGGAGCAACGUUUUAAGCUGACUUGCAUGUGAUCACUUUGAGCGUGGAAAGAUUGUGCGUCUGUAUGCGUAUGCGUGUGUCUCCGUCCAUGAUUUUUGACGAUGGAGGUUCCAGCAAACGUGUGUAUCGCAAGCGCUCGUCCACCGCUGCAACCUGCCGUGCCCUCCAUUCCGAUCCACAGGCACCUCCGGCGACCUGGGUUUCAGGCAGCGUCCCACACUCACAUCUCACUACGAGGGGCUCGUAACUCUCCGUGGUCGUGUGCCUGCUUGGUUGUUGGGACGACACCAAGCUGAUUCAGCGUGCAAAUUUAACACCUCUGAGGCUGGCGAAGGUGUGUGACGCAAGAGGCGUGUAAAUCCCUGAAGGAGCUUCUUUUUCCAGUUUCGGAGCUGCGAGGAAUUGCUGCAGAAAUGGCUUUUUUUUUUUACAGCCAGCAGGUUAGUUUUACUGCGGCAGUGUUGCGUGGACGUUCCAAAAGGGGACACAUUAGGGGGCCGCGCAGAAUAUGAAAAGGUCAUAGCAAUAAGACAAUCAAUCCCAGGGGGCAUAUUUUCAGACCGGCCUGUUUCUGUUUGCCUGACCUUUGCACAGGUAAAGCCACUGGACCUGAAAUCAUCCAGGUUCCAGUGAGCACAUCACUGAUAUAAUGUCGCUGGUCAUCUCAGUAAGAGGUAGCUGUUAGGGUCAAAAAUAGCCCUGAAGUCAACCAGGCUGCAAAUGGAGGGAAAUGCUAAUAUUGACUUUACAGCACGAUGGUGGAAAUGCUGGAAGAAUUUUGCAUGUCUGUAUGUGUGGGUGUGUGUUUGUGUGUUUUGGGCGAUACACGGACCUGUAUUUACCAGCGAAGAAACUUUUUUCCAAAGCUAAAACUUAGCAAGAGGGAAUGGCACACAUGCAUCAGUACAAAAACACCCCUGGGGGUAAUAAGCACUAAUAAGGAAGACUGAAAAAAUUUACAAUGCACAAGCAGCACUGAUUUAAUCUGCAAUCUAACUUUAUGUUCUUUUUUAAAAAAAAAAAAAGAAAAAAGUUUAACACUGCUUAAUGGAAAUCCAACACUUUUUAAAAAGCAGUGUUUGCUUUUCCCUCUUCACAAUAUGGGCUUUGUUACUUUCGUCUUGUUUUUGUCUUCCUUUGCAUCUUAAGAAAUGCCUUAAAUCGCUUGUACCAUGUGAUUGCACCAUGAUUUAGAAAGAACAGAAUGUACUCUAUAGGAAAACUACUGACGUCACAAAUUGGGUGUGAACUCUGGGAGCAAAACACAUUGUUCUGUAGAUGCGGACUGUUUUCAUU